rnacentral:rRNA from 1 species
UCCGUAGGUGAACCUGCGGAAGGAUCAUUAAAGAAAGUAAACGCGGGUCGAACCGCGAACUUCUAAACCCUUGAGGAUUGACUCAUGUUGCCUCGGCGGGUUCGCCCGCCAGAGGAUACAUCAAAACUCCUGUUUAACGGUGUUGUCUGAGCUACAAGCAACGAAUCAAAACUUUCAACAACGGAUCUCUUGGUUCUGGCAUCGAUGAAGAACGCAGCGAAAUGCGAUAAGUAGUGUGAAUUGCAGAAUUCAGUGAAUCAUCGAAUCUUUGUACGCACAUUGCGCCCCUUGGUAUCCCGAGGGGCAUGCCUGUUCGAGCGUCAUUUCACCACUCAAGCCUGGCUUGGUGUUGGGCGACGUCCCAUUUGGGGACGCGUCUCGAAACGCUCGGCGGCGUGGCACCGGCUUUAAGCGUAGCAGAAUCUUUCGCUUCGAGAGUCGGGGCCCCGUCUGCCGGAAGACCUACCCACAAGGUUGACCUCGGAUCAGGCAGGGAUACCCGCUGAACUUAAGCAUAUCAAUAAGCGGAGGA